rnacentral:rRNA from 1 species
UACGUAGGGUGCAAGCGUUGUCCGGAAUUAUUGGGCGUAAAGAGCUCGUAGGCGGUUUGUCGCGUCUGCUGUGAAAACCCGAGGCUCAACCUCGGGCCUGCAGUGGGUACGGGCAGCCUAGAGUGCGGUAGGGGAGAUUGGAAUUCCUGGUGUAGCGGUGGAAUGCGCAGAUAUCAGGAGGAACACCAAUGGCGAAGGCAGAUCUCUGGGCCGCAACUGACGCUGAGGAGCGAAAGCAUGGGGAGCGAACAGG